rfam:Picea glauca, whole genome shotgun sequence.
ACAUGCCUACAACAUAGCGUUAAUGCACUGGAUCCCAUUAGAACUCCACAAUUAAGCACACUCAAGUGAGAGUAGUACCGGGAUGGGUGAUCGCUCGGGAAGUCCUAGUGUUUUACAUGCC